UGUAGGGUUUACAUAUAAUAAUUUCUAGAAUUGACGCCACAAAACUGUAGAAUUACCAACAAAUUAGGGAAGAUGUUAUUGCCAAUAAGUGUGCAAUCCGAGAAAGUUUCUUUGUAUAAUUUUGGUUGACUGAGAAGUGACGAACCAAAUUAAAGAUCCUAAUUAGACAUGUUUAUUGGAGAGUUCUUAGGGUAGGGUUCUUAGCGUAAUAUAAGAACCGUCUCUUAACUUUUAAGUAAGAAAAACUAAGAACCGACUCUUAAAUAAAGUUAAAGUUAAGAAACGGUUCUUAUAUUACAUUUAGAACUUCAUCCUAAGAACUCUGCAAUAAAUAUGGUCUAAGAGCAUGAUUAACAGGGAGUAUUUUCUCAAAUAGUUCUAACAAAUUUAAUAUUAAUAUCUUUUUGUAAAUUUUUUUUUUUUUGAUAAAUCCUAUCAACAUAAAUCAUAAUAUUGAGAUAAACCAAUAAAAAAAUCAACAUAUGUGUAA
rnacentral:lncRNA from 1 species